AGAGGCACGGUCAACACGUGCAACAUGCCUUAUCAGCUGUGGAAAUUUACCCUCAGCAUGCCUGUUGCCAAACAAACAGACCGAAAAGCUAGGCUCAUUUGUAGCGGGUGUCAAAACAAACCGGAGCAUGUUGGGCCUGUAUCUACGGAAGUGCAAAAAACAACCACUAGAUUCAGGGCCGCGAUCUACACAGUCCACCAGAAACGUCUUGUCUUCUGCGGACGAGUGCAAGGCUCGCAAAAGAAAUAUGAAUGGCAACAAUGGAGGACUGGAUUGAUGUGUUGACACGGCGAUACCAGGCGUUCUGUCUCUCCUCCUCCAGGGUUUGAAGUCCAGCCAACAGCGUGUGAAGACUUUAUAUAAACAGGUUUAAUAUUUCAUUAGCUGCACAAUAGGUGCUGAGCACGUUUUUAGGAUACAGUAGUUCACAGCACGACACAAAGAGCCUAUGAUAAAUCAGCAAUUAAAUGAAUAGACAAAUAAAUAUUUGACUGCAUUUUACCUUUGAAAUAAAUAAAUAAAUGGGUCUGAUCAGAGGAAAUUACUGCAAUCAAUUUUAUUGUAUAGACAAAUGAACGAACGAACAAAUGAUCAAUAAAUGUAAUUCCUCUGAAAUAACGUAAAAUAUUUUACUGAACUGUAAUAUGAGCCCCAAAAUAAAAUUAUCUGUAAUUUGCAUUACACAUUUUACUUUUACAUAGUAUUUAAUU